rnacentral:rRNA from 1 species
UACAGAGGUCUCAAGCGUUGUUCGGAUUCAUUGGGCGUAAAGGGUGCGUAGGUGGCGCCGUAAGUGGGGUGUGAAAUUUCGAGGCUUAACCUCGAAACUGCAUUCCAUACUGCGGUGCUUGAGGACUGGAGAGGAGACUGGAAUUUACGGUGUAGCAGUGAAAUGCGUAGAUAUCGUAAGGAAGACCAGUGGCGAAGGCGGGUCUCUGGACAGUUCCUGACACUGAGACACGAAGGCCAGGGGAGCAAACGGG